UGUUUCGGCUAGGGGGUCAUCCCGACUUACCAACCCGAUGCAAACUACGAAUACCGAAGAAUGUUAUCACGGGAGACACACGGCGGGUGCUAACGUCCGUCGUGAAGAGGGAAACAACCCAGACCGCCAGCUAAGGUCCCAAAGUCAUGGUUAAGUGGGAAACGAUGUGGGAAGGCACAGACAGCCAGGAUGUUGGCUUAGAAGCAGCCAUCAUUUAAAGAAAGCGUAAUAGCUCACUGGUCGAGUCGGCCUGCGCGGAAGAUGUAACGGGGCUAAACCAUGCACCGAAGCUGCGGCAGCGACACUAUGUGUUGUUGGGUAGGGGAGCGUUCUGUAAGCCUGCGAAGGUGACCUGUGAGGGUUGCUGGAGGUAUCAGAAGUGCGAAUGCUGACAUAAGUAACGAUAAAGCGGGUGAAAAGCCCGCUCGCCGGAAGACCAAGGGUUCCUGUCCAACGUUAAUCGGGGCAGGGUGAGUCGACCCCUAAGGCGAGGCCGAAAGGCGUAGUCGAUGGGAAACAGGUUAAUAUUCCUGUACUUGGUGUUACUGCGAAGGGGGGACGGAGAAGGCUAUGUUAGCCGGGCGACGGUUGUCCCGGUUUAAGCAUGUAGGCUGGUUAUCCAGGCAAAUCCGGAUAAUCAAGGCUGAGGUGUGAUGACGAGGCACUACGGUGCUGAAGUAACAAAUGCCCUGCUUCCAGGAAAAGCCUCUAAGCAUCAGGUAACACGAAAUCGUACCCCAAACCGACACAGGUGGUCAGGUAGAGAAUACCAAGGCGCUUGAGAGAACUCGGGUGAAGGAACUAGGCAAAAUGGUGCCGUAACUUCGGGAGAAGGCACGCUGGUGUGUAGGUGAAGCCCCUGCGGGUGGAGCUGAGACCAGUCGAAGAUACCAGCUGGCUGCAACUGUUUAUUAAAAACACAGCACUGUGCAAACACGAAAGUGGACGUAUACGGUGUGACGCCUGCCCGGUGCCGGAAGGUUAAUUGAUGGGGUUAUCCGUAAGGAGAAGCUCUUGAUCGAAGCCCCGGUAAACGGCGGCCGUAACUAUAACGGUCCUAAGGUAGCGAAAUUCCUUGUCGGGUAAGUUCCGACCUGCACGAAUGGCGUAAUGAUGGCCAGGCUGUCUCCACCCGAGACUCAGUGAAAUUGAACUCGCUGUGAAGAUGCAGUGUACCCGCGGCAAGACGGAAAGACCCCGUGAACCUUUACUAUAGCUUGACACUGAACAUUGAGCCUUGAUGUGUAGGAUAGGUGGGAGGCUUUGAAGCGUGGACGCCAGUCUGCGUGGAGCCAACCUUGAAAUACCACCCUUUAAUGUUUGA
rnacentral:rRNA from 1 species